CAGGGGGUAGUUUAUAAAAAUAUUAAUUUUGGAGAUUAAAGAUAGCAUUAAGCUUCCUCUGA
rnacentral:tRNA from 1 species